rnacentral:lncRNA from 1 species
AUGACCCUGUCUCCUUUGUUCGGUGUACUCUUGUGGCAAAACUGCUGCUUCUGUGGACACAGCCGUGCACAAGACACAAGAUUCCCACCUUGGGAGCCACAGUGGGAGAAGGUCGUGGAAAAGACAGAGAAGGUACGUGAUUGGGGGAUAUCAGAUAUUAUCCAAGGUGUCAAGAAACAAGACAGAAGGGAAAGAGGACUCACACGGGCGCGCGUUUAUACACGCGUGUGCAUGUGCGCCUGUUUGUACACGUGUGUGCGUCUGUGCCUGUUUGUACACGCGUGUGCGCGUGCGCCUGUGUUUGUGCACGUGUGUGCGUCUGUGCCUGUGUUUGUACACGCGUGUGCAUGUGCGCCUGUGUUUGUACACGUGUGUGCGUCUGCGCCUGUGUUUGUACACGCGUGUGCGCGUGCGCCUGUGUUUGUGCACGUGUGUGCGUCUGUGCCUGUGUUUGUACACGCGUGUGUGCCUGUUUGUACACGCGUGUGCGUGUGCGCCUGUUUGUACACGUGUGUGCGUCUGUGCCUGUUUGUACACGUGUGUGCGUCUGUGCCUGUUUGUACACGCGUGUGUGCCUGUUUGUACACGCGUGUGCACGUGCAUCUGUGCCUGUGUUUGUACACGUGUGUGCGUCUGUGCCUGUGUUUGUACACGCGUGUGUGCCUGUUUGUACACGUGUGUGCGUCUGUGCCUGUGUUUGUACACGUGUGUGCGUCUGUGCCUGUGUUUGUACACGCAUGUGUGCCUGUGUUUGUACACGUGUGUGCGUCUGUGCCUGUGUUUGUACAUGUUGGGGGUCGAGGGUUGACCCUUUAAACGGGAAUCCAGGGAAGCCUCACGGAGGAGGCAACACUCACGCAGAGGCCUGAGGUGGAGGAGGAGAGAGCCGUGGAAAGAUCCAGAAGAAGCGUAUUCCAGGCAGAGGGCACAGCCGUGCAAAGGCCCCAGGACAGGAUCAUGCCUGGCGUGUUGGAGGAACAGCGAGGAGGCCCGUGUGGCUGAAGCAGAAUGAGGAGGGGGAGAGAGGGUGGAGGGAGGGCAGGAAGGGGACAGGGCAGGUGGUGCAGGUUCCUGUGGGUCCCCGGGAGGACUUGGGCUUUGACCCCAAGGCAGGAGCCGUGGAGCGCUGUGGGCAGGGAAGCGGUGGGACCUGUGCUGGGGGCUGGGUGCUCAGUAAAUACAUGUUGAGUUAAUGAAUGUCGCUUUGGCCGCGUGGGGGAAUCCAAUCCUCCCAGCGCCCCACAGCACAGGUGCUGCCCCCGUCCCCCCCCCCCCCCCCCCC